AGAGUUUGAUCAUGGCUCAGGAUGAACGCUAGCUACAGGCUUAACACAUGCAAGUCGAGGGGAAACGACAUCGAAAGCUUGCUUUUGAUGGGCGUCGACCGGCGCACGGGUGAGUAACGCGUAUCCAACCUCGCCCACCUACGUUGGGGAUAACCUUGACGAAAGUAAGACUAAUACCCAAUGAUAUCUCUAGAAGACAUCUGAAAGAGAUUAAAGAUUUAUCGGUGAUGGAUGGGGAUGCGUCUGAUUAGCUUGUUGGCGGGGUAACGGCCCACCAAGGCGACGAUCAGUAGGGGUUCUGAGAGGAGGGUCCCCCACAUUGGAACUGAGACACGGUCCAAACUCCUACGGGAGGCAGCA
rnacentral:rRNA from 1 species